rnacentral:rRNA from 1 species
CAUAAUUAUUAGUUUUUUAAUUGAAAGCUUGUAUGAAGGGUUGGACGAGAUAAAAUCUGUCUUUAUUUAAAUUACAAUAGAAUUUAACUUUUAAGUCAAAAGGCUUAAAUGUAUAUAAAAGACGAGAAGACCCUAUAGAUCUUUAUUUAAUUAAUAUUUUGAUAAUUUAAGAUUAUUUUAGUUUAAAGUUUUAAUUAAAUUUUAUUGGGGUAAUAUAAAGAUUAAAUAAAUUCUUUUUAUUUAUUACAUUGAUUUAUGAAUAUAUGAUCCAAUACUAUUGAUUAUAAGAUUAAGUUACCUUAGGGAUAACAGCGUAAUUUUUUUGGAGAGCUCAUAUCGAUAAAAAAGUUUGCGACCUCGAUGUUGGAUUAAAAAUUAGCUUGGGUGCAGAAGCUCAAGAUUUUGGUCUGUUCGACCAUUAAAUUUUUACAUGAUCUGAGUUCAGACCGGCGUAAGCCAGGUCGGUUUCUAUCUUUAUUUAUCUAAAAUAUUUUAGUACGAAAGGACCAAAUAUUUAAUAUAAUUAUAUUUAUUUUUUGAAUAAUAUU